rnacentral:rRNA from 1 species
AUUGAACGCUGGCGGCAGGCCUAACACAUGCAAGUCGAACGGUAACAGGAAGAAGCUUGCUUCUUUGCUGACGAGUGGCGGACGGGUGAGUAAUGUCUGGGAAACUGCCUGAUGGAGGGGGAUAACUACUGGAAACGGUAGCUAAUACCGCAUAACGUCGCAAGACCAAAGAGGGGGACCUUCGGGCCUCUUGCCAUCGGAUGUGCCCAGAUGUGAUUAGCUAGUAGGGGGGGUAACGGCUCACCUAGGCGACGAUCCCUAGCUGGUCUGAGAGGAUGACCAGCCACACUGGAACUGAGACACGGUCCAGACUCCUACGGGAGGCAGCAGUGGGGAAUAUUGCACAAUGGGCGCAAGCCUGAUGCAGCCAUGCCGCGUGUAUGAAGAAGGCCUUCGGGUUGUAAAGUACUUUCAGCGGGGAGGAAGGGAGUAAAGUUAAUACCUUUGCUCAUUGACGUUACCCGCAGAAGAAGCACCGGCUAACUCCGUG